GUGGCUUGUUGGAAGAUUUCUGGAAAUCUUGGAUGAUUUUCGUUGUUAAUCGAAUUUAAUUCUUGAGCUAGAAAUGUUAACAAAUUAGUUAAGUGAUGGCAUGUUGAAUUUGAGACCUUAAUACUCUGCUUUAGCCAAGGAAAAAGUUGUAAUAAGAACAUACAAUUGCUGGAAAAUUUUGUGAACUGCCGUGAGGUUUGAACCUGGAAAUUUUGAGGUUUAUGACCAUUGUUUGAAUUUAAUUCCGAACUGGAAGUGUUAAUUGGUUAAGAUAAGUUAAUGCAUGACAAAUUUGAGAACCUAAAACCAUGUUUUAGUUAAGGAAAAGUUGGAUUUAUAAACCUCUAAAUGCUGGAAAAGUCUUGAUAGCCGAGAGGCUUGAGCAGGGAUUUCCUCAGUUAGUUUUGGAAAUUUUAAUUGGAUUCUGGAUUUUUAUUUUAUUUUUCCUUGGAGCUUAAUGUAUGGAAGUGCCGGAUUAUGUUGUUUAAAAGCUGUGAGAGUGUUUAGCUAUGAAACAUUUGUUAUAUUGGAAGAUUUGGACCAAAAAUGUCGAAAUGUAAAUGCUGGAAAUGUUAUUAGCAACCGAG
rnacentral:lncRNA from 1 species